rnacentral:rRNA from 1 species
AGAGUUUGAUCNUGGCUCAGAUUGAACGCUGGCGGUAUGCUUAACACAUGCAAGUNGAACGGAAACGAUACUAGCUUNCUAGUAGGCGUCGAGUGGCGGACGGGUGAGUAACGCGUAGGAAUCUGCCUGAUAGUGGGGGAUAGCCCGAAGAAAUUNGGAUUAAUACCGCAUAAUCUAUUCGUAGUAAAGUGGGGGACUUUCGAGCCUCACGCUAUCAGAUGAGCCUGCGUAAGAUUAGCUUGUUGGUAGGGUAAAAGCCUACCAAGGCGACGAUCUUUAGCUGGUCUGAGAGGAUGAUCAGCCACAUCGGGACUGAGACACGGCCCAGACUCCUACGGGAGGCAGCAGUGGGGAAUAUUGCACAAUGGGGGCAACCCUGAUCCAGCCAUACCGCGUGUGUGAAGAAGGCCUGAGGGUUGUAAAGCACUUUCANCUGUGAAGAAAAGU